UGUUGGAUGUCGGGGGUGGGGAGAGAGCAGAGAGGGAGAGGCCACCUUCGCCGCGCUCACGGGCCUCGUCUUCAAGGAAGGGACUUGCUAAGCAAUCUUAUGCGGGGCACAAUACCGGUGUCGUUCGGAAGCCUAACUCACUUGCGGCAAAACAGCAGCAAUGCCAUGAAGCAGCUCUGUUUCUUGUUCUCUACUCUGCUUUGAACUGAACUUAUUUCAGUUAGCAACUGUAUACUAAAUUUGACAGUAUGGGUGCUUUCUUGUGAAUUGUGAUGUUGUUCCCAUCACAUUAGAUUAGGUUAAUUACAUCCACAUGUAUAGUAGCUUCUGUCCAAGUGCUCUUCAUCUUGUGUGUCAUCUGCAAGGCAAUCAAGUUAAUUAGAUGUUGUUAUUUUCAUGUUCUGCUUCA